rnacentral:rRNA from 1 species
GGGGGGGGGGGGGGGGGGGGGGGGGGGGGGGGGGGGGGGGGGGCGGGGGGGGGGGGGGCGCGGCGGGCGGGAGCGGCGGGCGGGUGAGGAGCACGUGGCUCACCUACCUAUAAGACUGGGCUAGCGUCGGGAGACCGGAGCGAAUACCGGAUAAGAUAUUGAACCGCAUGGUUCAAUAGUGACAGACGGUUUUGCUGUCACUUAUAGAUGGAUCCGCGCCGCAUUAGCUAGUUGGUAAGGUAACGGCUUACCAAGGCAACGAUGCGUAGCCGACCUGAGAGGGUGAUCGGCCACACUGGAACUGAGACACGGUCCAGACUCCUACGGGAGGCAGCAGUAGGGAAUCUUCCGCAAUGGGCGAAAGCCUGACGGAGCAACGCCGCGUGAGUGAUGAAGGUCUUCGGAUCGUAAAACUCUGUUAUUAGGGAAGAACAAAUGUGUAAGUAACUAUGCACGUCUUGACGGUACCUAAUCAGAAAGCCACGGCUAACUACGUG